rnacentral:rRNA from 1 species
UACGAAGGGGGCUAGCGUUGUUCGGAAUUACUGGGCGUAAAGCGCACGUAGGCGGACCUAUAAGUCAGGGGUGAAAUCCCGGGGCUCAACCUCGGAAUUGCCUUUGAUACUGUGGGUCUCGAGACCGGAAGAGGUGAGUGGAAUUCCUAGUGUAGAGGUGAAAUUCGUAGAUAUUAGGAAGAACACCAGUGGCGAAGGCGGCUCACUGGUCCGGUUCUGACGCUGAGGUGCGAAAGCGUGGGGAGCAAACAGG